CAACAUGGCAACCGAAGCCUCCGGGUUAGUGAUAUUUGAAUUUUAUCUAAUAUCAUGGUCAGGAGGGGGAUAGCCUCUUUUUGUCUCUUAUCUUAUGUUCUUGUUUUCUGUAAUUUUUUUUUUCCAUUACCUUUUGUUCAGUCUGCUUGGUUCCUUAAAGUGUAUUGUUUUACAUUCUGGUUUCAGCUUUUCAAGAUGGAAGAUGUCAG
rnacentral:misc_RNA from 1 species